ACAAAGAAGUAAAAUUUACAUUUAGUUUCGGCCUAAAAUUAAGGAAUAUUCCUCAUGUU
rnacentral:tRNA from 1 species